rnacentral:rRNA from 1 species
CGGGGUGCAGCAGGCGCGAAAACUUUACAAUGCCGGCAACGGCGAUAAGGGGACCUCGAGUGCCAGGAUACAAUCCUGGCUGUCGUAAUGCCUAAAAAGCAUUAUAUAGCAAGGGCCGGGCAAGACCGGUGCCAGCCGCCGCGGUAACACCGGCGGCUCGAGUGGUAACCGCUAUUAUUGGGUCUAAAGGGUCUGUGGCCGGCCUGGUAAGUCUUUUGGGAAAUCCGGCAGCUCAACUGUCGGGCUAUCAGAGGAUACUGCUAGGCUCGAGACCGGGAGAGGUGAGAGGUACUUCAUGGGUAGGGGUGAAAUCUUGUAAUCCUUGAAGGACCACCAGUGGCGAAGGCGUCUCACCAGAACGGGUCUGACGGCAAGGGACGAAAGCUAGGGGCACGAACCGGAUUAGAUACCCGGGUAGUCCUAGCCGUAAACGAUACUCGCUAGGUGUCGGCCACGGUGCGACCGUGGUCGGUGCCGUAGGGAAGCCGUGAAGCGAGCCACCUGGGAAGUACGGCCGCAAGGCUGAAACUUAAAGGAAUUGGCGGGGGAGCACAAGGGCGAAUNGC